AAGGUCCCAAAAUAUAUGUUAAGUGGAAAAGGAUGUGGCGUUGCCCAGACAACUAGGAUGUUGGCUUAGAAGCAGCCAUCAUUUAAAGAGUGCGUAAUAGCUCACUAGUCGAGUGACACUGCGCCGAAAAUGUACCGGGGCUAAACAUAUUACCGAAGCUGUGGAUUGUCCUUUGGACAAUGGUAGGAGAGCGUUCUAAGGGCGUUGAAGCAUGAUCGUAAGGACAUGUGGAGCGCUUAGAAGUGAGAAUGCCGGUGUGAGUAGCGAAAGACGGGUGAGAAUCCCGUCCACCGAUUGACUAAGGUUUCCAGAGGAAGGCUCGUCCGCUCUGGGUUAGUCGGGUCCUAAGCUGAGGCCGACAGGCGUAGGCGAUGGAUAACAGGUUGAUAUUCCUGUACCACCUAUAAUCGUUUUAAUCGAUGGGGGGACGCAGUAGGAUAGGCGAAGCGUGCGAUUGGAUUGCACGUCUAAGCAGUAAGGCUGAGUAUUAGGCAAAUCCGGUACUCGUUAAGGCUGAGC
rnacentral:rRNA from 1 species